rnacentral:rRNA from 1 species
GACGUAGGGCGCGAGCGUUGUCCGGAUUUAUUGGGCGUAAAGAGCUCGUAGGCGGCUUGUUGCGUCGACCGUGAAAACCCGGGGCUCAACUUCGGGCUUGCGGUCGAUACGGGCGGGCUAGAGUUCGGUAGGGGAGACUGGAAUUCCCGGUGUAGCGGUGAAAUGCGCAGAUAUCGGGAAGAACACCCGUGGCGAAGGCGGUUCUACUGGGACGGUACUGACGCUGAGACGCGAAAGCGUGGGGAGCGAACAGG